GCACAGGGCGGGAUUGAGCAGGAGGGGAUUUCUGAGAUUAGCACCAUUCCGUAUUUUGUCUCCCGAGCCGCUGGGCAGGACCGAGAGGGAAUGCACUACGGAAUGCAGAUGCUUCUGGCAGGUGUGGAGGGAGGAGAUCUGCAUGACUGCUGGGUCUUCCUUGGCAUCCCCUAUUUGCCAGGUCAGAGCAUUUGACCUGGUGGCCUUUCACACCAUUGUAUUUCCAAAAGGAUUAAAAAUUUUUAAAACUAAAAUAAAACAAAUCAAAAUUGUAUGAAA